GAUGAAGAACGCAGCGAAAUGCGAUAAGUAAUGUGAAUUGCAGAAUUCAGUGAAUCAUCGAAUCUUUGAACGCACCUUGCGCCCUUUGGCCAUUCCGAAGGGCAUGCCUGUUUGAGUAUCAUGAACACCUCAACUCUUCAUGGUUUUCCAUGAUGAGCUUGGACUUUGGGGGUCUUGCUGGCCUGUGGGUCGGCUCCUCUCAAAUGAAUCAGCUUGCCGGUUUUUGGUGGGCAUCACAGGUGUGAUAACUAUCUACGCUUGUGGUUUUCCACCAGGGUAACCUUCAGCAGUGGAGGUUCACUGGAGCUUACAAAUGUCUCUCCUCUGUGAGGACAGCCCUUUGAAUGUUUGAUCUCAAAUCAGGUAGGACUACCCGCUGAACUUAAGCAUAUCAAAAGCGGAGGA
rnacentral:misc_RNA from 1 species